GGCUUAGAGUUUGAUCCUGGCUCAGAACGAACGCUGGCGGCAGGCUUAACACAUGCAAGUCGAACGCCCCGCAAGGGGAGUGGCAGACGGGUGAGUAACGCGUGGGAAUCUACCGAGGCCCUACGGAAUAACGCAUGGAAACGUGUGCUAAUACCGUAUACGCCCUUAGGGGGAAAGAUUUAUCGGGGUUUGAUGAGCCCGCGUUGGAUUAGCUAGUUGGUGGGGUAAAGGCCUACCAAGGCGUCGAUCCAUAGCUGGUCUGAGAGGAUGAUCAGCCACAUUGGGAUUGAGACACGGCCCAAACUCCUACGGGAGGCAGCAGUGGGGAAUAUUGGACAAUGGGCGCAAGCCUGAUCCAGCCAUGCCGCGUGAGUGAUGAAGGUCUUAGGAUUGUAAAGCUCUUUCACCGGAGAAGAUAAUGACGGUACCCGGAGAAGAAGCCCCGGCUAACUC
rnacentral:rRNA from 1 species